AUCCAGCUGAUUAGUCCCAAAUAGGACGAAACGUGCGUCCUGGAU
rnacentral:hammerhead_ribozyme from 1 species